rnacentral:rRNA from 1 species
AGGGCACUCUAAUGAGACUGCCGGUGACAAACCGGAGGAAGGUGGGGAUGACGUCAAGUCCUCAUGGCCCUUAUGGGUAGGGCUUCACACGUCAUACAAUGGUCGGGACAGAGGGUCGCCAACCCGCGAGGGGGAGCCAAUCCCAAAAACCCGAUCGUAGUCCGGAUCGCAGUCUGCAACUCGAGUGCGUGAAGUCGGAAUCGCUAGUAAUCGCGGAUCAGCAUGUCGCGGUGAAUACGUUCCCGGGUCUUGUACACACCGCCCGUCACACCAUGGGAGUGGGUUUUACCAGAAGUAGUUAGCCUAACCGCAAGGGGCACG